GUGUGUGGAAGAUGCUGUCACUGCAUUACUGGCUCAUGUUUCCUUUGUUUCUGAUCACACUAACAGGUGUCAGCUGUGAUCAACUCACUGCAGUCAAGGAUGAAGAGUCCACUUUAGAAGGAAACACUCUCACUCUGUCCUACAGAUUAUCCAGAGAAGCAAGAAGUGACGAUUAUUUCUACUGGUAUCGGCAAUAUCCUGGAAAACCACCAGAGUUCCUGAUCUCUCAUUCAGGGACAGGAGUGGAAAUAUCAGAUCCAGUUCCUGGAGUAACCUUUAAAGACUAACAGCUGGAGACUCAAUCACUCCUCAACGAGCUGAAGUCACUGAAACAGAAGGAAAAUCUGUCAAACUCACAUGUAACUAUCAGACAAGUUCAAGUGGUGCUGAGCUUCACUGGUACAGACAUCAUUCUGACCUUCAGGCUCCUCAGUUUAUACUCUGGAAAAGAGCAGGAUCAUGGAGUGGUGAAUAUAUUCCUGAUAAUCGAUAUAAAUCAGAAACAUCACCUACAUCAACUAAUCUGACCAUAACAGCCCUAACCCUGGCAGACACAGCUCUCUACUACUGUGCUCUAGAAACACAGUGAUACAAAGUGUAGAAGAGGCUGUACAAAAACCUGAACACAGAUAUCUGACUACUCUUCAAAGAGGAGGGAAGUGGUAUUCAAAGCACAGCUUCAUAUCAG